GGAGGUCUGGAAGCUGCUGGUUUUUCAUACUUUGACAUAUGUGAGUUCAAUUCUUGCCCUUUUCUUUGAUAUUUUUAUGUUUUUGUGACUUUUACAAUUAGGUCUAAGUGUUUAAUUCAUUAGUUUUUGAUUUUAUGAACAAAAUUAAAAGCUAUCAUUGAUAAGUGUUGGUUGUUUAUGAUGAUAUAAAAUGAAUUUGAAGCUUUGAUUUUGUUGUUUGAUGAUUUUAUCAAGUAAUUUCAAUAGAAAUUGAUUUUAGGACCUAAUUGUGAAAAAGUUGUGAAUUAAGGUUUAGUGUUAAAAUUCUGAUUUUCAAAGGUUGUGUAAUAGUUUAGAAUGAUGGAAUAAAAUUUUAAUUGAGAAAAAUUAGCUUAAUAGAUGGGCUAACUGAGCAAGGACUGAAUUGUAUGAGCUGUGAAAUUUAGAGGAAAAAUGGUAAUAAACAUCUUGAACUAAAACAGUUUUGGACAGCAGCAGUAGGUUGACUUUGAAAAAUCACCAUAAAUUGUAUAAAUUGAAUUAUAGGAUGAAUAAAAUAUGAAAUUAAAGAUUAUUGAGUCUAGUUUCUUAUAGAAGAAACGGUGUAAGCAAUUGAAUUGUAAAUUAUGAGAUAUAAUGAAUUUUGUGAGACAAGGUUAGAACGAAUUCAGGUUCCCCUGUUUUGACUUUGGAAAAUCACCAAAAAUUGGAUAAAAUUAAUUAGAGGCUCAAAUUUAUAUGCUUAGAAUCUUUAAUGAGUCUAUUUUCAAUAGAAAUCAAUGGGAACAUUAUCCGAGUUCUGUACUGUGAUAUAAUUAAUUUUUAGUGAAGAGAGGUCAGAACCGUAGGAUAGUGAAACAGGGGAAAAUUAAAAGAAUAAACUGUACUAAUUGGCUAAACCAAAAAUUCUGAAAAUUUUAUGGUGGAAUGAUAUGUGAGUCUAGUUUCAGGGAAAAUUUACGGAUCUUAAUUUCGAGGUCUGUAGCUCGAAUUAUAAAUGAUUGAGUGACUAUGACUCGUGUGAACAGCUUGAUGUGAGCAUUAAUAAGUAAAUUGUGAAAUUGUACUUACAAGAAUGUUAUAUACAUUAAGGAUGUGGAAUGGAGAGGAGGAGGAGGAAAAACAAAUGAUAUAUGUUUAUAAGAAAACAGUAUGAGAAUGAUACAUAUCAUGACAUGUAUAUAUAUGACUAGUUUCAAUAUGAUGCUUGUUGGGUAUGAAGUUGGAUUGAAAUGUCUAAGGCAAGUAUUUUAUUCCGCGCAUCUGAAAUGUGGUAUUUUAUAAAGAUAUGAUCUAGCUUUAAAUAUAUAUGCCUGAUGAUUAAGCUGAAAAUAUUUGGUAAGAUGAUAAUCAUGGUAUAAAAGUAUAAGUGGUACCAUAAUAGACAAGGUAAAAUGAGUAUGAGAGACACAUGUAUGAUGACAUACAAAUGCUAUGUUUGUAGUUUAAUUGAGAAUGUUUAAUCAUUAAAUGAAUACCAUGUUAUAUGCUUUUGAUUUUGUAUAAGUGUGUAAGAGAUUAAGGUCGACCAAGGCUUGGAAAAUAGCUUAGAUAUUGACCACACAGGUAGAGACACGGCUGUGUGUCUCAGCCGUAUAUGGAACACGACUUUAGGACACGGGCGUGCGAUGUGGCCGUGUGCCCCUAAAUUGAUGAUGAUGUCAUAAACAGAAAGCUCCACAGACAAGGGACACGGGCGUGUCCCAAGCCACACAGGCGUGUGGAAUCCACACGGCCUAAUCACAAGGGCGUGUGGGUACUGUUCACAAGUAAACUUUUUUGAAAAAAAAUUAAUUAAGCGAAAAAUUUUACGAGAAAUCAGUUGAGCUCCGACUUGAUUUUAAUGUUCAUGUUGGGCUUCAAGGGCCUAAAUAAAGGUCGUUAUAUAUAUAUGAUCUCAGAAAGUGAAUAGUAAUGUUUCGAUUAAUCUGUAAAUGUUCUGUAUGUAUUGGUAACACUCUGUAACCCUGUUUUGGCGAUGGAUACGGGUUAGGGGUAUUACAAGUUGUUUAGAAAUUUAAUUAUUUAUUAUAAUUAAUGCUGUAAAUAAUAAUGUAAAUUACUAUUAUUUUCGUAGCCAACAAAGAACUGGAAGCAUCAGCAUCGAAAGGAAAUGAGAAAGUCAUCGAGGACUAAAAUGGGAGAAUUACGGUGUGUAUUACUAUAAUUCAAAUUUUAAUUAUUAUUGAUUGCUGAAAUUUUAAUUGUUAUGUAUGGUAAAUAAGACUUGAGGUAAGUAUGUGAAAUCGAUAUGAAUAUUGAGUGAAAAUGAAAGUGAUAUAAAUUGAAUCAAAUUGAAUUGAAUAAGUGAAUUAUGGAAUAUGUGAUUAUUUGAAAAGUGUAUUGAUUGAAAAUAAAUAAAUUGUGACAAAUGUAUUGUGUUGAUGGUAUACACUUGUGUGAAAAUUAAUUUGUAUAUGAAUUAAGAUAAUAGAUAUUUGAAUUGAAUGAGUAUUGAAAAUUUUUGUGUAAAUGAAAUUGAAAUUAGAAAAAAAAUAAAAUAAUACCCUAUUAACUUGUCGGACUAGAUUCGAUACAAAUGGCAUGCCAUUGGAUUUGUGAUGUGAUGAAGAGAUUGUAGUUCGGCCGAGAGGAUGUUUCUGUUAUUAUAUACUUCGGUUUAUCCGAAUAGGCAUUUAAUGCCUUAUUGGUGUGUUUGGGAGGAUAUAUUAUACCGGUGUGUUAUGGAGGAUUUACAAUAUUCCGGGUGUGUUUGGGUUGGACAUUCUGGUGUGUUUGGAUGGAAUCCACGUAUCUGUCAUAGUCCGAGCUUUGUUAAUAGGGUAAAUAAUUGAAAUGAAAUUUUGAAAAUGAGAUUAUUUGUUUUAGUACUAUUGAAAAGUACGAGAAACGAGAAAGAAUGUAUGAACUAAAUUAUGAAUUGAGUUAGUAUGAGAAAAAUAAAUUAUGAAUUUAAGAUUUAUGAAGUAAAAUAAUUUUAUAUAAAAGUAGUUUAAAUAAUUAUAAAAUUUAUGGUUGAUGUUUGUAAUUUAUUAAUGUUAAAUAGUCUUGAUUUAUAGUAAUACCACUGAGUAUGUCCAUACUCAGUGUACGGUUGUUUCCGUGCGCAGGUUAGUAGAAGUCAAGUGUCCUGGCUCAGCAUCCAGAACAAUCCCGACUCCAACACAAACUUGGUGAUGUAUGUUUUUCUUUUGGGUAAAGGUGGCAUGUACAUAGGUGUUAUUUAGUCACUUGAAUAUGUAUAUUACUUUGGGUAGUGAAGGAUGAAUUAUAAGAUUUAGAUGGUUAAAUGAAAUGGUAAGGAAAGUACAUGAUAUUUUGAUACAUGAACAUUAAGUUGUUAAAUGAAUGAAGUU
rnacentral:lncRNA from 1 species